UACGAAGGGUGCUAGCGUUGUUCGGAAUCACUGGGCGUAAAGCGCGCGUAGGCGGCCAUGCAAGUCAGGGGUGAAAUGCCAGAGCUUAACUUUGGAACUGCCUUUGAAACUGCAUGGCUGGAAGAUGAGAGGGGAUAGCGGAAUUUCUGGUGUAGAGGUGAAAUUCGUAGAUACCAGAAGGAACACCGGUGGCGAAGGCGGCUAUCUGGCUCAUUCUUGACGCUCUGGCGCGAAAGCGUGGGGAUCAAACAGG
rnacentral:rRNA from 1 species